AAGACUAUACUGUCUCCUUUUUAUAAUCAGUGAAACUGAUCUUCCCGUGAAGAAGCGGGAAUUAUUAUAUCAGACGAGAAGACCCCAUGGAGCUUUAAGUCAAACACCAACUGCUAUACUAAAUCACUAUAACUUUGGCAGAUCUGACUGUUAACUUUCGGUUGGGGUGACCACGGAGUAAAAUAAAACCUCCACAAUGAAUGAACCAAAUCCUAAUUCAAGAAUUACACUUCUAAAAAUCAAGACAUUGUCUUUUAUUGACCCAAGCCUUUGAUCAAUGAACCAAGUUACCCUGGGGAUAACAGCGCAAUCCAUUUCAAGAGCUCCUAUCGACAAAUGGGUUUACGACCUCGAUGUUGGAUCAGGGUAUCCUGGUGGUGCAACCGCUACUAAAGGUUCGUUUGUUCAACGAUUAAAACCCU
rnacentral:rRNA from 1 species